GAAAAAAGAAGAAGAAAGAAAAAGCUGUUACACAAUAUUCACAAACUAAAAGAAACAAAUGUUUGAAAAAGUGAAAUGAAGAUAGGUCCGUGUGCAUAUGUACAACAGGGCACGACACAAAGAGCCUUCCUGUUGCACUUCUGUGCCCUGGAUAAGAGCCAGCCACAAAUAGCUGGCAGUCAGGGCCUAUGACUUUAUUCAGCUCUGUCUAGAUUAUCUGCCUUGUGCAAGAAUGGAUGUAGCUUGGGAAAAUACAGCUAGAUGUAGGAAAUCCAAAUGGGAUGAACUGCACUUCAUGCUGGUGUGUCCAGCAGUGUACUACAGUGUAUCCAAUAGUUUACUAAAAUACUAUUUCCCAAUAUGAAGAUACAGCAAUAAUAUUUUCACCCUGAAAUAAAUGUUCUUCCUCUCCCCACUCCCAAAACCUCACAGUAAAGGAUUACAUGGUGAGCUGUACCACCCAUUCUCAGACCGUGCAGCACCCCUUUCUCUUCAAAUACUGCUGCUGAAGCCAGCAGUGUCACUGGAAGAGGAGGGAGCAGUCCAACCAAAAGCAGUGAUGCCAGCCUUAUAACAGCAUGAUCACACAGGCUGAUCUUUUUGCUGAAAUGGCUCAUAACUGCUCAAGGAGUCACAGUAUCUAAGGUGACUUCUGUUCUUCUAUUAAAAGCAAUAAUAAGAAAUAAGUAUCUAUUUAUUACACGUUCUCAUAUGCAUGUUCAAAACGAUAGCGCUCUCGUAUGGUCUUGGCAUUAAGACUACUUUCUGAGGCACAAUGUACAAUAGCAAAAGAAAAGUUUUUUUCACAUAUAUCUAUGUAUAUAUCUUACACAUAUGUGCACAUUUCGCAGAUAGUUUCAUAUCCAUGCAGCAUUCACCAGACUAGCUGACACUCCACUUCCUUUCUAUCAAGCCUGCUGACUUUGCUACGUACACAAGAAGGAGGCUGUCUAACUUUCUUUUCAACCACACAAUCCUAAAGCUGAGAGUUCUGAGAAAGACUCAAACAUCAUGGAGAAGGAGUGUGUGAAGGGAGUGUGCUUAUAGACAGCACAGCUUUGACAGUUUCGUUAACUGGUAGCAAUUUUUUUUGUUAAUCUGCAAAAUAGAACUGAUUAAUACACAUCACAUAUAUAUAUAUAGGUAUAUAUAUACAUACACACACACGUGUAUUCAGAUUGCAGUCCCUCCUAACAAUCACAGUACUUGGUAGGGAGACGUGGCAUGCUUCAUGCACGCAACCAUAGAUAUGCAGACUAUGUUACCACGCACCAUAUAAUCCCUGGAUGCUUCUGAAAUGGCAAAACACUUGGUCAAGUUGUGGAGGGAGCUCCCCGUAGCAGUUCAGCCGAUGUCAGCAAUGGAGCUAUCACUCAAGAAAGCCACUAAUUUAGACUGAGCUCUGAUGGAAUGUGUGUUAAUCCUGGAGGGUGGCUCCUUUUUGGUGUUUUCAUAACAGGUUUCGCUGGUGGUUAUCCUGCUCGGCACUCCUGACUUUCAACCUCCCAGCAGCUGACAAAAACAACUCUGGAUCUGAAAGACCUAAACCUGCGGAGCUAAAAAGUCAAAGGCCUCCUAACAACGAAAGCCCAAAGAUGUCCUGCCUCUAGAAACUUCUUCCUUCAAGAAAGAAUGGAAAUAAGUCGAUCCCCUAGAUAAAAUGAAGAGACCAAAACCAUGCUCAGGAGAAGCUUACAGCAGGCUUACAGGAAGCCUUCCUUCUUAAAGGAAGCCAUUUGGAUCUGAAAGAGUAUGGCUCUCAUCUGGUUUCCUGGAUGAAUUCAUAAUCAGGAAAAAAACCUUUUCCAAGGCCUAGUCCAGGACAUCUGGGUCUGAGGCAUAAGCAGAUCACUUGGUUCAGUCAGUGGACACCUGAAGAUGAUGUGCAGGAGUAAUGGUUUAACCACCUCCCACACAUACAACUGUCAUAUUUGUAUCUAUGUAUGUAUGACAUACAGAGAGCAGAAGAGUGGACAGGUAUGCAGAGAGGUGUAGGAAAGAGCCUCACCAGAACUAAAGCUGGAAACGAGCUCCUUUAGUACCAGCAAACAGACCAGGAUGACUGCAGCUGGCAUCUGGUGGGAGAGGCUGACCUGACAACACAGCCUGGCAUCCUGACUCACUCUGCCAGUUUGGUGCACCUCCUGCUGCUCCUCAUGCUGCUGACAAGAACUUCCCUCCCAGAGGAAAAGCACAGAUCUGGUGACAAGAUCCAUCCAGCAGGUCAAGAACAAAGGGAACAAUGUCAGCUAACAAGACCAAGCAGAGUAAUGCGAUCAUGUAUACCUCCUGCCUGACAGUAUUGGCUGCUGCUGAGGAUGUGACACAAGCCUAGACAGACCUUUCAUCUUGUAUAGUAUGGCAGUAAUGGUGGUCUGAUGAGGGGAGAAAAUACAUGGAAAUUGCAACUGAUGGAAAUACUUUCCCCAUAAGUCCCCAUUGGUGUCCUGAGUUCCUUCCUCUCUCCUUUUUGCACAGAACUAUGUUUCAACUCCUUGGGGAUAUGCAUUACAUAUUGUUAGUUAUACCAGCUUAUAAAGUAUGCAUGAAUAAACAACUGCUGGAAACAGUGAUUUAUUUUAUACAUCCACUUCCACAGAUAAAAGCAUAUUCUUUAAAAAA